GGUGGUUCUUGGGUGGCGCACCCCAGAAUCAGGCUUCCUCCUCUCUGGUUCUGGGUGUGUCACUUGAGAACUGCA
rfam:Myotis brandtii contig209722, whole genome shotgun sequence.